GACGAACGCUGGCGGCGUGCCUAAUACAUGCAAGUCGAGUGGAGUUAUUCCUUCGGGGAUGACUUAGCGGCGGACGGGUGAGUAACACGUAGGCAACCUGCCUGUAAGACUGGGAUAACUACCGGAAACGGUAGCUAAGACCGGAUACACAACUUGGUCGCAUGACUAAGUUGGGAAAAGCGGAGCAAUCUGCUACUUACAGAUGGGCCUGCGGCGCAUUAGCUAGUUGGUGGGGUAACGGCUCACCAAGGCGACGAUGCGUAGCCGACCUGAGAGGGUGAACGGCCACACUGGGACUGAGACACGGCCCAGACUCCUACGGGAGGCAGCAGUAGGGAAUCUUCCGCAAUGACGCAAGUCUGACGGAGCAACGCCGCGUGAGUGAUGAAGGUUUUCGGAUCGUAAAGCUCUGUUGCCAGGGAAGAACGCUAUGGAGAGUAACUGCUCUGUAGGUGACGGUACCUGAGAAGAAAGCCCCGGCUAACUACGUGCCAGCCGCCGCAGUAA
rnacentral:rRNA from 1 species